GCAAGCUAGCAGAAAGAAACCCUUCUUUAUGUGGCAAACUUGUUUUUCCGAAUUUGAAUAAAAUCCGCACUGCUGUCCCUUAUCUCCCUCAUUUGUCCAAAUUCUAGUGGGAGAAUGGGAGGUUCCAAGGAAGAUCUCAUUAUCUUAAUCCUUCAAUUUCUCCAUGAAGCAAAGUACAAGAACACUUUGCAUAGAUUAGAGCAGGAAAGCGAAGUCUUCUUCAACAUAAAUUAUUUGGCUGAAGUGAUGAAGCUCGGUGAAAUGGGAAAGGCUGAAGAGUACCUGGCAGCUUUUACAGACAAACACGCUAAUAAAU